CCUCUCCCAGUGCGUUUGUGUGAAGAAAACGCUGUCGAGGGUGAGGUUGUUGAGCUGAAUCAAGUCACAGAGGGGUCUAAUGAGUGCCAGAGCCUCUGAGAAGAAAAGAAUGGAAGCAGAAUCUUCUUAUUUCACUUGCAGCAAGCCUUCAGAUUGCGUCACAGCUUUCAGGUCACCAAGACGAAUGCAAAGAGGAUCACUGUGUGUGUGACUGCCAGUGACUGAAGAGUGCAUGCCCAAGACAACCUCAGCUGCAAAACCUCUUGGAAAGCACAGCAUUUCAGAAAGGUCCUGAGGAAGGAUAUGACAAGGUUCUGCAAGAUGUGAUGUCUGGUAGGUGGCCUGUUUC
rnacentral:lncRNA from 1 species